AGAGUUUGAUCCUGGCUCAGAACGAACGCUGGCGGCGUGCCUAACACAUGCAAGUCGAACGGUAACAGGACUUCGGUCGCUGACGAGUGGCGCACGGGUGAGUAACGCGUGGAUAUCUGCCUAUUAGUGGGGGACAACUACGGGAAACCGUAGCUAAUACCGCAUACGCACUACGGUGGAAAGCGGGGGCUUCUUCGGAACCUCGCGCUGAUAGAUGAGUCCGCGUCAGAUUAGCUAGUUGGUAGGGUAAUGGCCUACCAAGGCGAUGAUCUGUAACUGGUUUGAGAGGAUGAUCAGUCACACUGGAACUGAGACACGGUCCAGACUCCUACGGGAGGCAGCAGUGGGGAAUAUUGCACAAUGGGCGAAAGCCUGAUGCAGCGACGCCGCGUGCGGGAAGAAGGCCUUCGGGUUGUAAACCGCUUUCAAUUGGGAAGAAGAGAUGAGCGCUAAUAUCGCUCUGAUUUGACGGUACCUUUAGAAGAAGCACCGGCUAAUUUCGUGCCAGCAGCCGCGGUAAUACGAAAGGUGCAAGCGUUGUUCGGAUUUACUGGGCGUAAAGAGAUCGUAGGUGGUUUGUUAAGUCGGAUGUGAAAUCCCGGGGCUCAACCCCGGAACUGCAUUCGAUACUGGCAGACUAGAGUUUGGGAGGGGUAAGCGGAAUUCCGUGUGUAGCAGUGAAAUGCGUAGAUAUACGGAGGAACACCUGAGGCGAAGGCGGCUUACUGGACCAAUACUGACACUGAGGAUCGAAAGCGUGGGUAGCAAACAGGAUUAGAUACCCUGGUAGUCCACGCCCUAAACGAUGUCAACUAGCCGUUGCGGGUAUCGACCCCUGCAGUGGCGAAGCUAACGCGAUAAGUGACCGCCUGGG
rnacentral:rRNA from 1 species